rnacentral:rRNA from 1 species
GAGUUUGAUCCUGGCUCAGGACGAACGCUGGCGGCGUGCUUAACACAUGCAAGUCGAGCGGUAUGUAGAAAUACAUAUAGCGGCGGACGGGUGAGUAACGCGUGAGCAAUCUGCCUCUGUCAUCGGGAUAACAUUUAGAAAUAGGUGCUAAUACCGAAUAAGACCACGAUGCGGCAUCGCAUUGGGGUAAAAAGGUUACUGGACAGAGAUGAGCUCGCGUCCCAUUAUGGUAGUUGGUGAGGUAACGGCCCACCAAGCCGACGAUGGGUAGCCGGCCUGAGAGGGUAAACGGCCACAUUGGAACUGAGAUACGGUCCAAACUCCUACGGGAGGCAGCAGUGGGGAAUAUUGCACAAUGGGGGAAACCCUGAUGCAGCGACGCCGCGUGAGUGAGGAAGUAUUUCGGUAUGUAAAGCUCUAUCAGCAGGGAAGAAAAUGACGGUACCUGACUAAGAAGCCCCGGCUAACUACGUGCCAGCAGCCGCGGUAAUACGUAGGGGGCAAGCGUUAUCCGGAUUUACUGGGUGUAAAGGGAGCGUAGACGGCUAAUCAAGUCAGAAGUGAAAACCCAGGGCUCAACCUUGGGAGUGCUUUUGAAACUGAGUAGCUAGAGUGCAGGAGAGGUAAGCGGAAUUCCUAGUGUAGCGGUGAAAUGCGUAGAUAUUAGGAGGAACACCAUUGGC